rnacentral:rRNA from 1 species
UAAGCAUAUCAAUAAGCGGAGGAAAAGAAACCAACAGGGAUUGCCCUAGUAACGGCGAGUGAAGCGGCAACAGCUCAAAUUUGAAAUCUGGCUCUUUCAGGGUCCGAGUUGUAAUUUGCAGAGGGCGCUUUGGCUUUGGCAGCGGUCCAAGUUCCUUGGAACAGGACGUCACAGAGGGUGAGAAUCCCGUACGUGGUCGCUAGCUAUUGCCGUGUAAAGCCCCUUCGACGAGUCGAGUUGUUUGGGAAUGCAGCUCUAAAUGGGAGGUAAAUUUCUUCUAAAGCUAAAUACUGGCCAGAGACCGAUAGCGCACAAGUAGAGUGAUCGAAAGAUGAAAAGCACUUUGGAAAGAGAGUCAAACAGCACGUGAAAUUGUUGAAAGGGAAGCGCUUGCAGCCAGACUUGCUUGCAGUUGCUCAUCCGGACUUUUGUCCGGUGCACUCUUCUGCAGGCAGGCCAGCAUCAGUUUGGGCGGUGGGAUAAAGGUCUCUGUCACGUACCUCUCUUCGGGGAGGCCUUAUAGGGGAGACGACAUACCACCAGCCUGGACUGAGGUCCGCGCAUUUGCUAGGAUGCUGGCGUAAUGGCUGUAAGCGGCCCGUCUUGAAACACGGACCAAGGAGUCUAACAUCUAUGCGAGUGUUUGGGUGUCAAGCCCGAACGCGUAAUGAAAGUGAACGGAGGUGGGAACCCGCAAGGGUGCACCAUCGACCGAUCCUGAUGUCUUCGGAAGGAUUUGAGUAAGAGCAUGGCUGUUGGGACCCGAAAGAUGGUGAACUAUGCUUGAAUAGGGUGAAGCCAGAGGAAACUCUGGUGGAGGCUCGCAGCGGUUCUGACGUGCAAAUCGAUCGUCAAAUUUGGGCAUAGGGGCGAAAGACUAAUCGAACUAUCUAGUAGCUGGUUCCUGCCGAA